AAGGGCAGAAGGAGAAGAUGUUCGAAUUCGCGGAGAGAGUUGGGUGGAAGAUGCAGAAGCGAGACGAAGAGCUAGUGGCGGAGUUCUGCAAUGAAGUUGGGGUCGACAAAGGAGUUCUAAAGGUGUGGAUGCAUAACAACAAGAACACCUUCGGCAAACGAGACGUCAAUGGCAGCAGAACCAGUCUCGACGACAACAACGAGAACAACGAGAACAACGAGAACACCGAGAACACCGAGACCAACGAGACCAACGAGAACAACGACAACACCCCUCACACCAUGGAAACCAUCCACCAUACCCCAAAUCACAACCACACCAACCCCAACCCCAACAACAACGAUACUACCACUGCACAUCUCGCCACUAAUGGUUCUUCUUCAUCUUCUUGAUCUUCCUUCCCAAUCUUCUUUCCC
rnacentral:lncRNA from 1 species